rnacentral:tRNA from 1 species
GGCUAGGUGGCAGAGUGGUUAUUGCGGUAGAUUCGAAUUGCAUUAUGAGAAUAAUCAUAAUAACGAAACUAUCUACUUCCUUCGGGAGCGUCUGUUCGAAUCAGGCCCUAGUCG